GCAAAUGCACUGCAAGAUGUUGAUAACCACAUUUUGCUUGGUCUCUGAGAGGUUAGUCAUCUCCUCUAUUCUCAUAUAAAUGUAAUUAAACUGCAUAUCCUUAUUUUAAUCCUGAUGCUUUGUUCUUAUUACAGCUCUGUACCACUGUUAACUUUAUGUAUAUAGUUCUCUUAUGGAAACAAACGUCGGCUUUGUUGGCUUGUAAGUGAAUGUCCUGAAGGUUACUGUUGCAGAUGAUUCUUAUGGAAGCAUGAUUUUUCUACUUAAAAUUGAACAAUUGUUUUAUUGGGGAUUUGUUGUUCCCCUCUUGUUCAUAAUUGUUACAAACAUCAAUUCCACAUAUUGACAUGCCAUUUUUUAUUCAGUUUUGACGAUCCUUGUCCACAUGGAGCAGGUAUACUUGACUAUAUGUUACCUGAAAUUAUCAAGAUUUUUUUCAGAAAAGCUGCAUAGGUGCCACUUUCUUUCAGUUUAUCAUGCGACUGCCCUAAUUAUUGGUAUUUUCCUACUUUUGGUAGUUCGGUUGGCCUGCAGUCCUCAUCCAUCUAUACCAGAUAACCAUUACUACAUGUACUAUUAUUAAUUUAUCAGAAUUAGCUCACAUCAGUUGGGAUAUAAUGGUAUGCUUCUAUUAUUAGAUUAGCCACUUCCCUCUGAAACCAAAUUGCUAAUUGGUUUUGGUCUGGAGAUCUAUCUGUGUUGCGCUCCUUCAGAUCUUGCAGCUCAAAGCAAUAAGUUCUCACUUUCAGCACCACACUACAGUUUUGGACAUUAUUUGUCUGUUAAAAAAAUAACAUGAGGCUCAGUUCUUUAGCUAUGAUUCCCCUUUGCAUAUUGUUAUUGCUCAUUUCUCCAAUGGUUGUAUUACGUGACUUAUUUCCCUACAUAAGUGUCACGGUGCUGUAACUCUAGAUGCUUGGACAUUAACAUUGCUUCUUGCAAAUUAUCUUUUUUGAAGUAAUAUAUGUGAUGAAUGACCUUUGUUGGUUGAGAAAGACUAGGUUACCUGAAUGAUUAUCAGAAAUGAUUAUUGUAUUUUAUUACCAGGCUGGUGGAUGCAUAGAUAGGAUAAGCAAGCAAGUGUUUGCUAGGGAAAGUGUUUGCUAGAUACAGGUUGGUGGAUCAUCAAUUAGAUAUUUCAUGGAAACCACUGAAGUUCUGAAGAGUUGUGAUCCCACUUUGGCAUGUGUUCUUUUGCUUGGCUGCAUCUGAAUUGUUUGUGCACUACUUUAACAUUGUUGACCCUAUAAUGUUCUUUGUUUGCAAUGCGGAAGUUUACAUUUUUGGUUUAGGUCAGACAUGGAUAAUAGUUUAGUGUACGUAUGAAUUGUACCUUUGUGCCUAUAUGUAAUUAUCAAUGUAUUCAAGACAUGAUAUUGCACAUUCAUUUCAAAUUGCGUCUUUUAUUACUUUAUAUAUGAAUGCAUGUUUAUUUUGUCUCUACAUCAUGGACCAUGUCCCUUUCAUCGUGCCAAGGUUUACCAUCCAGUUGGUUACAUUGGUACUAUUUAGUGACUCAUCGCAUUUUUUUGUAGAAAAAGACAGAGCCAUAUUUUUCAGACUGUUUGCUUUCAUUGCAGGAUCAUUAUUCAACUACAGCAUCACCACCUUGCCUUUCCAUGUAGUUAUCACACAACUGAUUUGAGAUGAAGUGAGUGCCUCCUCUUCUUUGUUCAAUUACAUUGUAAUCAUUUCUCUUAUGUGGAGAGAAGCUUGCAAGUUUGAGUGUUUUACUCUUGUGUCUUCAUCGAGGCCAUGUCAUUGACAUAGUCGGUUCAUCACACCUGUAGGUAUGUACACUCCAUGCUCCUCCAUAUUCCAUUACUUGGUUUGAUAUCUUAAUAUGUGAUCUGGUUGAGAAUGUGAGAUGGUGAGACAAUGAGAGACCAUGGGAAUCAGAGUUCCUAAGUAGUUUAUUCGUUCUUGUUGCUUGUUAAUGUGCUUAUCUUGAUUUUAGACAGUGAGAGACCAAUGGAUAAUUCCGUGACCUCUCUAAUACUUUUAGUUGAUAUCUUGAUUUGUUUAGAUGCAUCUUUUUCUGUGUUCAUUUGGAUUAGCUUACCCUAUUCCUUCUUGUUAUGCUCUCUAGCAGUAUUUCUCAUGAGAAUGACAGUGCCUACACACCCAAAGUGCGCUUUCUAUCUCUACCAUUGGGUACCAAUUAUUGGUUCUUACUUGAAACAAUGUAUCAUUUAGUCUUUGUUUUAUCCUCUUGAAGAUGUAUCUUUGUCCAUGCACAAAUUUAGUGCUACGGUGAACUUUCUAAUGCGUUUUGUAUGAUACUAUAACCUAAUCUCUUUUAAUACUAUCUGUUUUCGAUCCGUGGGUUUCCUUUUGUAAUACUUUGUUAGUAAAGUUCUGUAGUAAUUUUGAUAUGAACAAUAAGUUCUUAGCUAACCAGUCUGCCAAUAGUAAUGCCUAAAAUCAGAGUUGCUUGCAUUGACACACAGUUGUGCAUUUGUAAUUACUAUUAUGAUAUGCCACAUCCUUCUUUUAAUUAUCUUAUAUUUUUAUGUUUUAUUUAUGAAAAUAAAGGAACAUGUAUUAGCCAUAUUGUUUAAUUAUUGUUCCAGGCAAGAUAGUAAAAUAAAACAGUAAAGUAAUAAUGUUGCCGCUUUGUUACUUCGCCGCAUUUCAAUUUUCCGAAACCUAUUAACUAAGACUUUGUAAUUUUAUAGGACGGUACGCAUUCCCUGACUAUGAAGAUAUAAAAUGAUCCUAAGGCUAAGAGAAGGUUACAUGUUUAUUUUGGAGCGGUGUGAUGUCGUCGCACACUUAUUCAUGACAUUAUUGAUGUACCUUUUUUUGUAAAUUAUGUCACUCCCUGAAGCUAACAGUGAUAUGUAAUAAUAUAUUGUCAUGAUACCGCCUUCAUUAUUUUACGCGUUUGUAAAUCCUGGUA